UCUAAACCGCGAUAUGUCAGGAUUUCUGGAAUGGUUUCUGACUAAAAUCUAUAUGGCCUCUGGAUUGGACUGCGGCCGAUCAGGCUGUUGGUGAGGUAAUGGCCCACCAAACCUGUAACCGGUACGGGCUCUGAGAGGAGGAGCCCGGAGAUGGGCACUGAGACAAGGGCCCAGGCCCUAUGGGGCGCAGCAGGCGCGAAACCUCUGCAAUAGGCGAAAGCCUGACAGGGUUACUCUGAGUGACUUUCGCUAAGAAAGUCUUUUGGCACCUCUAAAAAGGGUGCAGAAUAAGGGGUGGGCAAGUCUGGUGUCAGCCGCCGCGGUAAUACCAGCACCCCGAGUGGUCGGGACGAUUAUUGGGCCUAAAGCAUCCGUAGCCGGUUCUGCAAGUCCUCCGUUAAAUCCAGCUGCUCAACAGAUGGGCCGCGGAGGAUACUACAGAGCUAGGAGGCAGGAGAGGCAAGCGGUACUCAGUGGGUAGGGGUAAAAUCCGUUGAUCCGUUGAAGACCACCAGUGGCGAAGGCGGCUUGCCAGAAUGCGCUCGACGGUGAGGGAUGAAAGCUGGGGGAGCAAACCGGAUUAGAUACCCGGGUAGUCCCAGCCGUAAACGAUGCAGACUCGGUGAUGGGUUGGCUUC
rnacentral:rRNA from 1 species